CCGUAGCUCAGCCGGUAGAGCAACUGACUUUUAAUCAGUAGGUCCUCGGUUCGAAUCCGAG
rnacentral:tRNA from 1 species